GCAGGAUGGGGUCCUCGAUUCUCUCCAGCAGGUCAUAGAUAGAGUAGAUGUUGGGAUGGACGCUCUCGAAUCGCUGGAUCUCGGCUCGGAUGGCCGCGGAGUUGGCCAGCUGCUGCUGCGCCAGCGAUCGGGGUUCGAUUCCUGUUGCUGUCUGUAAGGAGUUUGUGCAGGUGCUCUGGUUUCCUUCCACAUUCCAAAGACGUACAGCCCAGUACAUCUGUAUUGAGGUGUGGUGUCCAAAAAUGAAUGUUGUACCCCCGGUGAAGACUG